UACGUAGGGUCCAAGCGUUAUCCGGAAUCACUGGGCGUAAAGCGUGUGUAGGUGGGUGUUUAAGUGAAAUGCGAAAUCUCGUGGCUCAACCAUGUAGACUGUAUUUCAUACUGGACACCUUGAGGAUGGCAGAGGCAAGUGGAAUUGAUAGUGUAGCAGUGAAAUGCGUAGAUAUUAUCAGGAACACCAAUGGCGAAGGCAGCUUGCUGGGCCAUAUCUGACACUGAGACACGAAAAGCGUGGGGGAGCGAAACAGG
rnacentral:rRNA from 1 species